UACUGGGGAUCGGGCCCACAACUCGGGCAUGUGCCCCUGACCGGACUUGAACCUGGGACCUCUCAGUCCCCAGGCCGAUGCUCUAUCCACUGAGCCAAACCAGCCAGGGCUAUUUGUAUGUGUUUUUAUGCACAUGGGCAACCAUAGCUACUGGAGGAAGUUUCCUGUCGGGCAUUCGCAGCCCCAGGGCCUUUCUAAAUACAGGCAGUUCUCAGGUUAUGUUGUUUCGUGGUUACGUCACCAUCUCCCAUUUAUUUAUAAAAAAAAAGUUCCGUCAUUUCGACGUAUGUACAUAUGUGCUUUAUGUUUAUUUAUUUACCACAAGUAAAGGUCAGGAAUUAUCUUUCUUUUAAAUUUUUUAUUGUUUCACUUCAUUACUGCUGUGUAUGUGCUCCAUGUGAGGGACGUAGGUGGGUUCCGAUUUACGGCAAAAAUCGCAUUACAUGGCUCCGUAGGAUCGGAUCUCCGACGUAACGUGAGGACCUACUGUAUGCUGGCCGCCCCAGGCUGCAUGCACUUUAGGGAAAUGGUUCGCGUUGACAUUUCCUUACGUCUUUACCGACCCCGUGCUCUUGGACUUGACAGUUUGUCAGUGUGAGAAGUGAAAAUACAUUUCAUCGUAGUUUUUUGCAGUUCUUUUGGAUUGUGUACUUCAUUACUUUUAAGAGCUCUUUAUAUAUUAAAUAAAUUAGCCCUGUCAAAUACUUUCCUGUUUGUCAUUGACUAUUAACUGUUACGCUAAAAUUUUGCUGUUCAGAAUUUUAAAUAUAUAAAUACUCAUCAAUCCCUCUCAAGAUUACUUUUUGUUAAACCCCAUGUUUCAUCCUGUUUUUUAAAUUUGAAUCUGGGAUCUGUCUGGACUGAAUUUGGUGUAAUGAGUGACUAAGGGACAGUUAGCCUAUUGUCUCCACGCCGUGUACUGACUCAUGCCUCUGCUACCAUUGAUCUGUCUAUUCGUGUGCCGGCUUCGGUUUUAAAUAUUGCAGUUCUGUGCUCCAGUGUAUGCUACGGAUGGCCAGGCCUCAUUACUUUACCUCUCCUUCCUUAAGAUGUGCUACUUUGUUCUUGUGCAAGAAUACGGUAUGCCUUUCCAUUUACUCACGGAUGUUUGCUUUGGCCUUGUGCUCGAUGGGAGGGUGUGGUCAGAGGUCUUGGUCCGUGACAGUGUCUGGGCCUCCUGUCCUAGUGACCGUCGCCGUCACAGAAAACUUUCCUGGGUUUUGCUCCGCCUAAGAGUGACUUGUUGCUGUGGAGCUGGCCGUGUCCAGUCCAGCGGACUUUCGGAUGCAAUGCUUCUAAACACACUGUCCUGGUAGCCAUGCCGACCUGUUUACCCAGCUGGGGAGGAAUGGGGCCUGCUCUGGGAUGCUCGCAUUGCCCCGGUUUCAUUGAGAUGUCACUGACGGAGCAAUUCUGAUCCUCUGCCGUGCGGCUGACUGCUGUUGUGGGCAGUUCUGUGUACCCGGAUGUGUGAACAGAGUCCUGUUCUGGUGCCAAGCGCCUGACCCCAGGCUCAACCCUGAACCGCCUCUCCUGUCCACACCUGCUGGAACAGCUGCCAGAAUGCACUGCGUGCUUUCCUCCGUGUCAGAGAUCACGCAGGCCAGGAUCUGCUGGAUCCAGGCUCUCGAGGCCGCCGUUGUGAACACCCUGUCCUGUCUGGGACACGGUGGUUCUUUGGGGGCUGCCAGGUGGGGCGAGCUCGUCCCCUCACUGCCUUCUGGUUAGGGGCCGGGUCAGGGCCAGCCGCCCCUCCUUUCCUGGGCUCAUUGUCUGCAGCGGAGAACUGAAGGGGCCUGAAGCCAGACGCCAAGCCUUUCCGUCCGCGAUGCAUUUUCUGCGCAGAAGUCGGGUCUGAGCCUGCUGGUGGGGCUGGUUUUCCGUCAGCGCUGCUCUGUGUUCUGGUGAUGCCUUUUUUCUGACUUACUGUUGAAACUGGGUGCGGUGCUUUUCCCUGUUUCCUAAGACGUUGCUGUGCAUGAAUCUGAUAAUUUCCUUAAGAGAGUUCCUUAGCGGUGACGCUACUGGCUCAGAGGGUGUGGCCAGCAUGAAGGCGUUGGACUCGGGUUGCCCGGUGCCCCCCCUACAGGGGCACAGCUCAGCUCUCCCAGCCCCCCACAGCAGCCGUCCCACAGCCCUGCUCUCCCCGGUUUGUUUCCAUUUUUGCUGACUGGGAGGCAAAAACGGUCUCGGCGUUUUCAUUUGCACUUUUGAUGGUGUGAGCUGUGUUCACUGUGUCUGUUAGCCGACUCUGCUUUGUGCUUCAUUUAAGCUUCCAGUUCCCGGGACCUCUGUUGAGGGUGGCUCCCCUUACAUAUCACAACAGCUUUCAGGUUUGAAGUUUGCCCUUUAAAUUUGCAUGUUGGGUCUUGCCGACGGUUUUACGUUUUGUAAUCAAAUCUAUUUUCUUACUAUAGUUUCAUCCUUUGGUAUUAUGCUUAUUUCCUUCUGGUUCCCUUGUGGUUUUAAUUUUGACGUUUAACUCUUUAAUCCGUCUAGAAGUUAAUUUGCUGUACAGUAUGAGGUAAGAAUAUAAUCUAGUUCUUUCAAAAUGGCUAACCAAAGUUCCCAGCACCAUUUACUGAGUAAUUCUUUCUCUCUCAAUUUGAAAUGCCACUACUUCAUUAAGUUCUGUUUCUGAGCUUUCUAGUCUGUUCCACUGACCUGUCUUUCUGUGGGCCAACCCAAUGGUUUAAUUAUUUUAGCUUUAUAAUAAAAUAGGUUUUUAUUGGAAUUGCAUUAUCAACAUAAACAUCAUAAUACCGAGACUUUCCAUUUAGAAACUGGCCUCCGUGUGCAUUCAGAUGGGAGGAUUGUCACCAGGCAGUUUAGACUCAGGGGUUUUAGGCUUCGCAUGUACAAGCUGUGCACGUCUAUGCUGUUCUUAGGACUGCUGUUCUGUAUCGUGGUUGGAUCUGUUUUUCAAUUAAAAGUUCAGACGAGCUUUGUACAUUGGCAGCGUCGUAGCCAAUGAGGUUUAUCCGAGGUACAGUUACUGCUCAUAAAAGAAAAAAAGUUCAGAUGAUGGAAACAUAUGGUAAGGUGUGUGUGUGUGUGUAGUAAAUUAUGCUGAACUUCAAUGUUAGGGCCAAAUAGAGGUAAUGCAGCCUCUUGGCUAAAAUUGUCAGCUUUCGAAUCCGAUCACCUGCUCUCACACUGGACCCGCCUCCAUCAUGACCAGUCUCCUGCCUUAGUUUCCCAUAUUUUAAAAAGUAUCAUCAUAUUAUUUACUAAGAAUAUGAUGAGGGUUAAGUGAGCAUUGUGCUUAUUUGUGCGCUCCUGAAAUGGAGUGGCACUGUUGGUGGGGUGUCCACAUAAGUAGCCCGUCAUCUUUAAUACGUAUAUUAUCAUGUGACUUACUCCAUUUUUCAUGCUUCUCUCACCUGUCUAAUUACCAAUGAGCUGCGAGCAUCGUGGCCUUGUUCCCACCUGACCCUCUACUGGGAUCUGUGAGCAAAUAAAAGGGGGCCAGGCAGGGCCCCGGGAGGUGCACAUAGGCCCCAGCAGCCCGCAUCAGUGGCUGAGGGGCGAUUGUCCUGCCGGUGGUCCUCAGGACAAGCUGGGCGGCCUGCUGGUGGGCAUUUUAAAUUCUAAUAUCUAUGUAUAUUGUAUUUAUAUAACAUGUAUUUGAAAAACCACUGGUUUUCUAUUUAUGGUGGUAAUAUAAAGUUUCCUUUUAAAGUAAAUUUAUUUUUUCUUUUUUAAAUUGAAAUAUUUACACAACAUAAAAUGCAUGCUUUUAAACUGCAAGUAAGUGGGUUUUAGCAUUUCACUGUGUUGUGCAACCAUCACCAAUAUUCAUUUCCAGAACUUUUCCAUCAUCCCAAACAGAAGCUCUGCGCCCAUUGAACAAUAACUUCCCGUCCCUUCCUCCCUAGCCCCUGGUGGCCUCUGUUUCUAUGAAUUUGCCUAUUCUUGGUAUCUCGUAUAAGUGAAAUCAGCCUGUCCUUUGUGUCCGUCUUAUUCCACUUGGCAUGAAGAAUUCAAGGAUCGUCCAUAUUGUGGCAUUGAACAGCACUGCGUUUCUUUUUAUGACGGAAUCAUGCUCUGUUGUACGGAUGCACCACGUUUGGUUUAGCAAAUGUCAGUUGGACAUUUGGGUUGUUCCCACUCCUUUAGCUAUUAUAACUCUGCUAUAAACAUUUGUGAGGAAAUUUUUGUAUGAACGUAAGUUUUAAAUUCUCUUUGAUUUGAUAUCUACUUGGGAGAGGAAUUACUGGGCCAUAUAAUAACUCUGUGUUUAACUUUUGGGGGAACUGCCAAGCCUUUGCAAUGUAGCUGUACCGUCUUACCUUUUCGCCAGUGAUCUGUGAGGGUUCCAUGUCUCCAUUCUCGCCAACACUUCUUCUCACCUGGCUUUAUGGCGGCCCCCCUGGGCCCGGGAAAGCGGGAUCUCGUGUCGUUCCGUCAGGCGGCUCUUCAUGUGCUCGCCGGCCGUGCCUGUAUCUUUGGAAAAGUGUCUACACUGAUCCUUUGACCACUCUUAACUCGGGUUUUGUCUCUUCAUUACUGAGUUACAGGAGUUCUGUGUGGAGUUUGGGGACAACCUCCCUCAGAUAUGUGAUUUGCAGAUAAUUUCUCCCAUCCGGGAAUUUGUGAUUCCAUUUUCUUGAUAAGUUCCUUGGACAUAAAAUAAAUUUACAUUUAAAAAGUGAGUUGAGAGAUCAACCAAAGGACUUGUAUGCAUGCGUAUGAGCAUAACCAAUGGACACACACAGUAGGGCGUGUGCUGGGGAGUGGGAGCGGCUGGGGAGAGGUCAAUGGGGGGGGGGGACCAUAUAUAAUACUUUAAAUAAUAAAGAAUUUAAAUUUGAAAAAAAGGAAUUGAUAUAAUGGGGAUGGGGGGCACUGCUGUACUCAGACGUGGCAAAAGUCUCCCAGUGCUGUGGGAAUGAUGAAAGUUUGGGAGGGAGGGUGUCCCGAGGAGACCACCGGUGUCUGGAGGCAGGAAAAGGAGUGUGAUCCUUGACCGUGAAAUGGGUGAGCGCUGCCCGGUGCGUCCCUUCGCGUGUGAUGUCCCUGGCAUCGCGUUAGGUGUGCCGGCGUCUGGGUUGCUCAGAGGCGUUUUUUUCAUCAGUAACAUGUUGGGUUUAUUAAAAUGUCUUUUCUGCGUCUUGAGAUGAGACUCAGGUUUUCUCCUUUCAUUUUCUAAUGAUUAAUUAUCUUAAUGGAAUAUUAAGGUUUGUAUUAAUAUUAAUGGGAUCGUUUGCUGUCCUGUGAUUUCUGAAACAAACCAUUCCCUGGCCUGGAGCUUUGUUUUGUCGACACAGAAAUCAAUCAGAAGGUCCACGUCGACUUCAGGGCGUUGUCAGGCAGAACGCGGAAAGGCACGGUCAAGAGCAGCGGCUAAGAGCACAGCUCUGACCGCUUGGCCUCUGUUCCCUGCUCUGUCACUUAAUAGAAUCGGACUUUGGUCAAAAUUCUUAAUUUCUUGAAGUCGGUUUCCUCAGUGAUAAAAUGAGGGCAAAACGGUCUUAGAACCUAUCUCUUGGCCUGAGCGAAAUUGGUCCCGGGGCGUGGGCACUGAGUGGGUGAGGGGACAGCUGCCUCCUGCGCGUCAGGAGAGAAAUGCUGGACCGAGGCCAGUCCCAGCCUCGGCACAGGCUGCCGCCACUCCUCCUCGAGGGUCACUGGUUCUUUGUGAACUUUUUCCGUUUCUCCUGAGUUACUGUGCUAGUCAAUAUUUCUAUUUCAUCAUAAGUUAAUUUUUCAAAGUUAUAUUUGCUAAGAAAAUCACCUUUUUCAUAAGUAUUAGUGUAAAAUAUGCUUUUACAUUUUAAUAUUCUGAGUAGUUUUCUCAUUUUAUUCUGAUUCCUAGUUUUUCUUUUUUUCUUUACCUUUAGUAGACUUUCAAGAAAUGCAUUUUGUUGACCUUUUCAAAGAAACAGCUUUAGAUAAACAGUCUGCUUUCAUUUUGUAAUUUAUUAAUUUCUACUUUUAUUGCAUUGAUUCCUUCUGCUUUCCUUGGAUUGGUUUUGUUACCCUUUUCCCAGUCUUCAUUUAUGUUCAGACCCACAUACUUUGAACAGUAGGAAGGGAAGGUGCAGCCUCGGGAGGGAGGCCCUGGCGCAAGGUGGUCCUGCUGCAGCCGCGCCAACCGUCACCCUGUGGUCGGGACAGGCCUCAGCUGCUCAUCCUCCCGAGAGGGUGUCGGGAUCCUGUUGGUGGGCAGGGCCCGGCAGGCACGUGAGGGCCUUCGGCAAAGGGAACAGAACUGUUGUCUCCUUCCUCAGUGUCCGCUUCUAGCAGUCCCUCCAGUAACGCCCUCCGUGGCAGACACAGCACACAAGACGGCUGGCCCUGCCUUCAUGGCGCCCCGUCCUCAUGGGGCACAGGCCUGAGGUGGGGAUUACACAGACUGUAGGUUAGCACCGCUGUGGCAACAGCCACACGGAGUGAAGUGCAGCCCGAAGCCCUGGCGGGUAGCUCAGUGGUUAGAGCCGGCCCAGUCAGGGCACAUACAAGAACCAGCCCAUGACGCACCAGUGAGUGGAGAGACACAUCGAUGUUUCUCUCCCUCUCUCUCCCUUCUCCCCUCUCUCAAAGAAUUAAGAUUUUUAGGAGCGUGGCCUGAGAGUAAGGACAAACCCUCACGUGGAGGAGGGACCUGUGAGCUCCCCUUUGGGGGGGGAUGGCCUGUCUGAGGAAGAGCGUUUCCAGCGGAGACCAGGGCAUGGCAGCCCCUGAGCUGUGAAGGGCACUGGCUGGAGCCACCUUGAGAUUCGGAUGUGACUCCAGGGGCCGGGAGGCCUCCCAGCUGUACUUGGGGAAAGAUCUGCCGUCCUCAUGUCCUGUGUGCUUUGUGGUUUCAGCUCUGCCAUACAAUUUGACUAGUUAUUUAAAAGCAUGCUUUAAAAUUUCUACGUGUUUGGGAAAUACUAUUUUUAACUAUUGUAAUCUACUUCUAAUUUAAUGAAUGAUUGGUUACCUGAGCAAGCAGCCUGUACAGUUCCUGCUUUUUGGAGUCUAUGGUUCCCUUUUCAUCGCUUCAGGUAUGAUAAAUAUAUAGAUUUUUGUUGUUGUUGUUAAUCCUCACCUGAGGAUAUUUUUCCAUUGAUUUUUAGAGAGAAUGGGAGGGAAGGGGAGAGACAGAAAUACUGAUGCGAGAGAGACACAUUGAUUGGUUGCCUCCCACACGUGCCCCAACCGGGCGGGGAUUGAGCCUGCAACUGAGGACCAGAGUUGAACCCAGGACCUUCAGUCCACGCGCCGACUAGGGCCAGGUAUGAUAUUUUGGUCACGUCCCCUGGCAGUCCGAGGUGCUCCGUGUCACGUCCCGCUCUGGACCAGCCCCUGCCUCGGUGUUUCUCCGUCCGAUCCAGACCCGCUGCACCUGAAAUGAGAAGUGGGAUCACAGCCCCGCUCCUCGCUGCCCUCACCUCUCCGAGGCGGCUUACGGUCUGUUCCCGUGUUUCCCUGCAGUGUGACUGGAACCUGGAGAUUCCCAGCAGCUCAAACCGCCCUCCUCUGUGCGGGGCUUUCUGCUUGGAAUUCACUGUCUGAUGUCCUCAGGCCAGGCCUGCACCUGCGCCCACCCCACCCGGCCGCGUCCUGUUUGCAUUUGACCGAAGUCCCUGUCGGGGUUAUUUUCAUCCGUUGAGAGUAUGUUCUGCCUUCCCACAUUUCUGAGGCCUUCUAAGGCCAGAGCUUUGUUACUUCAUCGUCAGGUUGGGACUUAGAUGGCCGUUCAUGGUUCCUCUCCUGCUGCAAUCAGUAAGUGCCUCUCCUUUGUGGUGUGUUUGGGUUCAAGCUGGAGGGAGGCUGUGAGGCAGAUGGGCCAGGAGGAGGGUCGGGUGGAGGGAGCCGGGUGAGAGGUUUGGGGGCUGGGCCUUCAGGACUGGCUCUGAGCCCAUCUGGUCGUCCACAAACCGUGUGUGUGUGUAUGUCUGUGCAUGGCUAUGUGUACGACUCAUGUAUGUGUAUGACUGUGUAUGUCUGUGCAUGACUUUGUAAAUGACUUGUGUGUGACUGUGUAUGACUGACAGUAUGUCUGUGCAUGACUUUAUAUAUGACUCGUGUGUGUGUGACUGUAUUACUGUAACAGUGUGUGUAUGAGUGUGAGUGACUAUAGGACUCGUGUGUGUGUGUGUGUGUGUGUGUGUGUGAGAGAGAAGUGGGGCUGGCUCAGCUCGCAUUCAAUCCUCGGAAUGAGUAGAAAGGACCCAGUUCUCCACUGUGCGUGACCCUGAGCAGGAUUCAUCCCUCUGUGAGCCUCAGCUUCUCACCUGGCCUCGCUGGGGAGGGACUUCUGAACUCCUCAGGGCUGACAUGAGGGGCCAGGAACCCUCCCGGUGAGAGGCGGGGCAGGACUCCUGGACUAGAACUGCAGAGCUAGUGGGAGCUGCUCCCACCAGACCCGCCGGGGGCCCGGGGGUGCAGAGCCUGGGCUGGGAGCAGUGGGUGCUGUGGGCAGGGGGCUUGGAGGGUGGCCUGGGGCAGAUACUGGCUAAGGGUCCAGAUUGGGCUUCGUGGAUCUUGGGCCCUGGCGACUUGGACCCGUCCUCCCCGGAACUCAGACUCCGGUGAGUCCAAGGAGAGGAGAGAGGCCGGUGGGGGCACUGAGCUUCCAACUUCAUGUUCAAGUAACGGCAGUUCCUGGGAAGGAUCCACAGCGGCGCUGGAGAGCGGUAGGAGGCCUGCCAGCCCGGCAGGUGGGCGUUUGUGCAACCCACGUGGCUGGGGCACAGCAGACCUGGGUCACAGCUGGCAUUUGAGCUAGGCCGGAGUGCUCAACCUGCCCCCUAGUCCUUAGGUUUCCUGUUCUGAUGAAAAAGCUUAAGAUUUUUACCUUUAAAUAUAAAAAUAAUCUGCAUAGAGUUGAACAUCCAAGCCCUGGAAAAGAUACAAAAUGGUAGUAAAAUCCCCUUCCCUCACCCAUCCCUCCAGUUCCUUUGAACCUUUCUGGACAUUUCUAUGCACAUACACAGCUGUCACUGCUAGAACAGGCAGGACCAUAUGCAGUUCGUUUGCCGUCUGACCUCAUGGCUCCUGCAGCGGAAGGAGCACCAGCACAGCAGGCAGCGUGGGCCUGAGGGGACGUGUGUCCCCCGGCCGCACCUGGCAGGGCUGUCGGGGCAGAAGGAGUGAGCCUGGGAGGGGGAGGCGCGGAGCCGCCGCAGGUGUUUCUUUUACUGGACGCGGCUCAUGGCCGCGUUCAGGUUUUGCUUUUCACCUUUGAAUCUGUGAGAAAAUGAGCAGGAAAAAGCAAAA